rnacentral:lncRNA from 1 species
UGUAUUAAAUGUCUAAUUAUUUGAACUUUUAAAUGAGAUUCUUUAUUAAAAUCCAGCUAUAUUAUAUCCGUAGGACCUAUGCUAGCCAUGGAAACUUCAGCCAACUUGCUAUGCAUUUAUCUAACAGUACCGGGAUGGAUGGGCAAUAUAGUUAUAAGGAUCAUAUGGAGUUGCAAUUUGAAUUUUUAGGAAGGUCACUGUGGUAGGAGCUGCAGAGGGAAGAGGAGAGUUUGAUAAAAAGAUAAUGAGAUCUGCUUUGAUGCAUUCUUCCUGAAAAUGUUGAUGAGAAAUGAAGAUGAAGAUGCACACACCAAAUGUUGCACCACUUAUUUUGGUGACUUUUAAAGAAUGGCAAUGGGAAGACAGAUGACCCAUGAGACCUUUUGAAGGAGAAUUUGGCGUUUGGACCAAGAAUGUUGAAACGAUUAGAUUUGAAAAGAGCUUCUACCCUAUAGUUGCAAAUUUCUUUUUUAAUAAAGAGGAAACAAGGCACA